AUGGAGAGGAGCCUGGGAGCUGUGCUGGGGCUGCUGUGGGUGCAGGUUUGCUGGGUCAGAGGGAUGCAGGUGGAGCAGAAUCCUUUAGCCCUGAGUCUUCUGGAGGGAGCUGGCUGUGCUAUGAGAUGCAAUUUUUCUACCACCAUAAGCAGCAUGCAGUGGUUUCUGCAGAAUCCCAGGGGCAGCCUCCUCAGACUCUUCUUCAUGGCUUCAGGAACAAAGGAGAAUGGGAGAUUAAAGUCAACAUUCGAUUCCAAGGAGCGCUACAGCACCCUGUACAUCAGAGAUGCCCAGCUGUUGGACUCAGGCACCUACCUCUGUGCUGCUGAUGCACAGUGUGCAGCCUGGCCCCAAACUGCAGCUGGGUGUGCAGCUACCGCCCUGCCACAGGGAGACUCAACAGGAGGCUUUGCACAGCUGUAG